rnacentral:rRNA from 1 species
GAUGAACGCUGGCGGCGUGCCUAAUACAUGCAAGUCGAGCGAACAGACGAGGAGCUUGCUCCUUUGACGUUAGCGGCGGACGGGUGAGUAACACGUGGAUAACCUACCUAUAAGACUGGGAUAACUUCGGGAAACCGGAGCUAAUACCGGAUAACAUGUUGAACCGCAUGGUUCAACAGUGAAAGACGGUCUUGCUGUCACUUAUAGAUGGAUCCGCGCCGCAUUAGCUAGUUGGUAAGGUAACGGCUUACCAAGGCAACGAUGCGUAGCCGACCUGAGAGGGUGAUCGGACACACUGGAACUGAGACACGGUCCAGACUCCUACGGGAGGCAGCAGUAGGGAAUCUUCCGCAAUGGGCGAAAGCCUGACGGAGCAACGCCGCGUGAGUGAAGAAGGUCUUCGGAUCGUAAAACUCUGUUAUUAGGGAAGAACAAAUGUGUAAGUAACUAUGCACGUCUUGACGGUACCUAAUCAGAAAGCCACGGCUAACUACGUG